AGAACAUCACGCAGCGCGGCAACGUCGCCAAGACCUCGAGAAAUGCUCCCGAAGAGAAGGCGUCCGUGGGACCCUGGCUGCUGGCUCUCUUUAUUUUCGUCGUUUGUGGUUCUGCAAUUUUCCAGAUUAUUCAAAGUAUCAGGAUGGGCAUGUGAAGUGGCUGACCUUAAGAUGUUUCCAUUCUCCUGUGAAUUUUAACUUGAACUCAUUCCCAAUGUUUGAUACCCUGGUUAAAAACAAUUCAGUAAAGUAUCCUGCCUCAGAAUGACUUUUCAUACCAUC